rnacentral:rRNA from 1 species
UACGUGAGGGGUAAGCGUUGUUCGGAAUUACUGGGCGUAAAGGGCUCGUAGGCGGCCAACUAAGUCAGACGUGAAAUCCCUCGGCUUAACCGGGGAACUGCGUCUGAUACUGGAUGGCUUGAGUUUGGGAGAGGGAUGCGGAAUUCCAGGUGUAGCGGUGAAAUGCGUAGAUAUCUGGAGGAACACCGGUGGCGAAGGCGGCAGCCUGGACCAACACUGACACUGAGGAGCGAAAGCCAGGGGAGCAAACGGG